GAGAAGGAGGUGGUGGAGGCAUAUGAGGUGCAGGAGGAGGAGGACUCCAAGAAACUCUCUGAGAUAUCUGAGAGUCCGGAACUGCCUCGGAAGAUGAUGGACCGGAAGAAGAUGUCCCGACACCAUCAUGAAACAUCUGAGAGUAAGUAGGUGCAGCUGGCUUUCUUCUAGGACCCAUCUAAUUUUUUUAAAAAAAAUUACAGUUAGUUUUAUGAUUAACGACAUAAUUUAAAAAUAUUAUUCCGAUACCUAACUAAUCACCUAAACUAAUUACCUAUACUAACCACUUAAACUA
rnacentral:lncRNA from 1 species